CUGCAGAAGGGGCCAGAAGGGCCUUGCAUGGUAGACACGAUUACCUCAAUCUUACAAACUGGAAAAGGGAGUCUCAGAAUAGCCUCUGGUUGUCAUAUCUUGAAGACGGUAAUAUUUAUGAAGGCAGGAGCUAAAUUUACUUGAAUCAACACUGGAACC